UACGUAGGGUGCGAGCGUUAAUCGGAAUUACUGGGCGUAAAGCGUGCGCAGGCGGUUUUGUAGGCCAGAUGUGAAAUCCCCGGGCUUAACCUGGGAAUGGCAUUUGGGACUGCAAGGCUCGAGUGCGGCAGAGGAGACUGGAAUUCCUGGUGUAGCGGUGAAAUGCGUAGAUAUCAGGAGGAACACCAAUUGCGAAGGCAGCUCGCUGGGACGUGACUGACGCUGAGACGCGAAAGCGUGGGGAGCAAACAGG
rnacentral:rRNA from 1 species